GGAGUUUGGACCGUGUCUCAGUUCCAAUGUGGCCGAUUACCCUCUCAGGUCGGCUACUGAUCGUUGCCUUGGUGGGCCUUUACCUCACCAACUAGCUGAUAGGACGCAGGCCGUUCCUCGAGCGGAGCAAAAGCUCCUUUCCAGUAUGGCUUCCAAGACCACACUUCACAUCCGGUAUUACCCGGUAUUUCUACCGGCUAUCCCCGUCUCAAGGGUACGUCACCCACGUGUUACUCACCAGUCCGCCACUCUCACAUCCAGCAAGCUGGAUGGUCCCGUUCGACUUGCAUGCUUAAGACGCGCCGCCAGCGUUCGUU
rnacentral:rRNA from 1 species